AGCAGCCGCGGUAAUUCCAGCUCCAAUAGCGUAUAUUAAAGCUGUUGCAGUUGAAAAGCUCGUAGUUGAAUUUCGGGAUUGACACAUCGGUCGUGCCUUAAGGGGUAUGAACUGGUGUAGUCAAUUUCUCACCUUCUGGAGAACCGCGAUGCCCUUAAUUGGGUGCCGCGGGGAACCAGGACCUUUACUUUGAAAAAAUUAGAGUGUUUAAAGCAGGCAUUUUGCUUGAAUACAUUAGCACGGAAUAAUAAAAUAGGACGGCAUGAUUCUAUUUUGUUGGUUUCUAGGAUCACCGUAAUGAUUAAUAGGGAUAGUUGGGGGCAUUAGUAUUCAAUUGUCAGAGGUGAAAUUCUUGGAUUUAUUGAAGACUAACUACUGCGAAAGCAUUUGCCAAGGAUGCUUUCAUUAAUCAAGAACGAAAGUUAGGGGAUCGAAGACGAUCAGAUACCGUCGUAGUCUUAACCAUAAACUAUGCCGACUAGGAAUCAGACGAUGUUAAUUUUUUAAUGACUCGUUUGGC
rnacentral:misc_RNA from 1 species